rnacentral:rRNA from 1 species
GAUUAAGUUAUUAAGGGCGCACGGUGGAUGCCUUGGCACUAGAAGCCGAUGAAGGACGUUACUAACGACGAUAUGCUUUGGGGAGCUGUAAGUAAGCUUUGAUCCAGAGAUUUCCGAAUGGGGAAACCCAGCAUGAGUUAUGUCAUGUUAUCGAUAUGUGAAUACAUAGCAUAUCAGAAGGCACACCCGGAGAACUGAAACAUCUUAGUACCCGGAGGAAGAGAAAGAAAAUUCGAUUCCCUUAGUAGCGGCGAGCGAAACGGGAAGAGCCCAAACCAACAAGCUUGCUUGUUGGGGUUGUAGGACACUCUGUACGGAGUUACAAAGGACGACAUUAGACGAAUCAUCUGGAAAGAUGAAUCAAAGAAGGUAAUAAUCCUGUAGUCGAAAAUGUUGUCUCUCUUGAGUGGAUCCUGAGUACGACGGAGCACGUGAAAUUCCGUCGGAAUCUGGGAGGACCAUCUCCUAAGGCUAAAUACUCUCUAGUGACCGAUAGUGAACCAGUACCGUGAGGGAAAGGUGAAAAGCACCCCGGAAGGGGAGUGAAAUAGAACCUGAAACCGUGUGCUUACAAGUAGUCAGAGCCCGUUAAUGGGUGAUGGCGUGCCUUUUGUAGAAUGAACCGGCGAGUUACGAUUUGAUGCAAGUUUAAGCAGUAAAUGUGGAGCCGUAGCGAAAGCGAGUCUGAAUAGGGCGUUUAGUAUUUGGUCGUAGACCCGAAACCAGGUGAUCUACCCUUGGUCAGGUUGAAGUUCAGGUAACACUGAAUGGAGGACCGAACCGACUUACGUUGAAAAGUGAGCGGAUGAACUGAGGGUAGCGGAGAAAUUCCAAUCGAACCUGGAGAUAGCUGGUUCUCUCCGAAAUAGCUUUAGGGCUAGCCUCAAGUGAUGAUUAUUGGAGGUAGAGCACUGUUUGGACGAGGGGCCCCUCUCGGGUUACCGAAUUCAGACAAACUCCGAAUGCCAAUUAAUUUAACUUGGGAGUCAGAACAUGGGUGAUAAGGUCCGUGUUCGAAAGGGAAACAGCCCAGACCACCAGCUAAGGUCCCAAAAUAUAUGUUAAGUGGAAAAGGAUGUGGCGUUGCCCAGACAACUAGGAUGUUGGCUUAGAAGCAGCCAUCAUUUAAAGAGUGCGUAAUAGCUCACUAGUCGAGUGACACUGCGCCGAAAAUGUACCGGGGCUAAACAUAUUACCGAAGCUGUGGAUUGUCCUUUGGACAAUGGUAGGAGAGCGUUCUAAGGGCGUUGAAGCAUGAUCGUAAGGACAUGUGGAGCGCUUAGAAGUGAGAAUGCCGGUGUGAGUAGCGAAAGACGGGUGAGAAUCCCGUCCACCGAUUGACUAAGGUUUCCAGAGGAAGGCUCGUCCGCUCUGGGUUAGUCGGGUCCUAAGCUGAGGCCGACAGGCGUAGGCGAUGGAUAACAGGUUGAUAUUCCUGUACCACCUAUAAUCGUUUUAAUCGAUGGGGGGACGCAGUAGGAUAGGCGAAGCGUGCGAUUGGAUUGCACGUCUAAGCAGUAAGGCUGAGUAUUAGGCAAAUCCGGUACUCGUUAAGGCUGAGCUGUGAUGGGGAGAAGACAUUGUGUCUUCGAGUCGUUGAUUUCACACUGCCGAGAAAAGCCUCUAGAUAGAAAAUAGGUGCCCGUACCGCAAACCGACACAGGUAGUCAAGAUGAGAAUUCUAAGGUGAGCGAGCGAACUCUCGUUAAGGAACUCGGCAAAAUGACCCCGUAACUUCGGGAGAAGGGGUGCUCUUUAGGGUUAACGCCCAGAAGAGCCGCAGUGAAUAGGCCCAAGCGACUGUUUAUCAAAAACACAGGUCUCUGCUAAACCGUAAGGUGAUGUAUAGGGGCUGACGCCUGCCCGGUGCUGGAAGGUUAAGAGGAGUGGUUAGCUUCUGCGAAGCUACGAAUCGAAGCCCCAGUAAACGGCGGCCGUAACUAUAACGGUCCUAAGGUAGCGAAAUUCCUUGUCGGGUAAGUUCCGACCCGCACGAAAGGCGUAACGAUUUGGGCACUGUCUCAACGAGAGACUCGGUGAAAUCAUAGUACCUGUGAAGAUGCAGGUUACCCGCGACAGGACGGAAAGACCCCGUGGAGCUUUACUGUAGCCUGAUAUUGAAAUUCGGCACAGCUUGUACAGGAUAGGUAGGAGCCUUUGAAACGUGAGCGCUAGCUUACGUGGAGGCGCUGGUGGGAUACUACCCUAGCUGUGUUGGCUUUCUAACCCGCACCACUUAUCGUGGUGGGAGACAGUGUCAGGCGGGCAGUUUGACUGGGGCGGUCGCCUCCUAAAAGGUAACGGAGGCGCUCAAAGGUUCCCUCAGAAUGGUUGGAAAUCAUUCAUAGAGUGUAAAGGCAUAAGGGAGCUUGACUGCGAGACCUACAAGUCGAGCAGGGUCGAAAGACGGACUUAGUGAUCCGGUGGUUCCGCAUGGAAGGGCCAUCGCUCAACGGAUAAAAGCUACCCCGGGGAUAACAGGCUUAUCUCCCCCAAGAGUUCACAUCGACGGGGAGGUUUGGCACCUCGAUGUCGGCUCAUCGCAUCCUGGGGCUGUAGUCGGUCCCAAGGGUUGGGCUGUUCGCCCAUUAAAGCGGUACGCGAGCUGGGUUCAGAACGUCGUGAGACAGUUCGGUCCCUAUCCGUCGUGGGCGUAGGAAAUUUGAGAGGAGCUGUCCUUAGUACGAGAGGACCGGGAUGGACAUACCUCUGGUGUACCAGUUGUCGUGCCAACGGCAUAGCUGGGUAGCUAUGUGUGGACGGGAUAAGUGCUGAAAGCAUCUAAGCAUGAAGCCCCCCUCAAGAUGAGAUUUCCCAACUUCGGUUAUAAGAUC